CAACUACUCCCUCUGUCCAAAAUUUCUUGUCUUAGAUUUGUCUAGAUACGGAUGUAUCUAAUACUAAAAUGUGACUUGAUACAUCCGUAUCUAGACAAAUCUAAGACAAGAAUUUUGGGACGGAGGGAAUACUUU
rnacentral:pre_miRNA from 1 species